CCUACGGGAGGCAGCAGUGAGGAAUAUUGGUCAAUGGGCGCGAGCCUGAACCAGCCAAGUCGCGUGAGGGAGGACGGCCCUACGGGUUGUAAACCUCUUUUGCCGGGGAGCAACGGGCGCCACGUGUGGCGUCACUGAGAGUACCCGGAGAAAAAGCAUCGGCUAACUCCGUGCCAGCAGCCGCGGUAAUACGUAGGGAGCGAGCGUUAUCCGGAAUUAUUGGGCGUAAAGGGUGCGUAGAUGGCAUAGUAAGUCUUUUGUAAAAAUGCUGGGCUCAACCCAGUAGGGCAAAAGAUACUGCAAAGCUAGAGUAUGACAGAGGCAAGUGGAACUACAUGUGUAGCGGUAAAAUGCGUAAAUAUAUGUAAGAACACCAGUGGCGAAGGCGGCUUGCUGGGUCGAUACUGACAUUGAGGCACGAAAGCGUGGGGAGCAAACAGGAUUAGAUACCCGGGUAGUC
rnacentral:rRNA from 1 species